rnacentral:rRNA from 1 species
UGCAAGUCGAACGGCAGCGCGGGUGCUUGCACCUGGCGGCGAGUGGCGAACGGAUGAGUAAUACAUCGGAACGUGCCCUAGAGUGGGGGAUAACUAGUCGAAAGAUUAGCUAAUACCGCAUACGAUCUACGGAUGAAAGUGGGGGACCGCAAGGCCUCAUGCUCCUGGAGCGGCCGAUGUCUGAUUAGCUAGUUGGUGGGGUAAUGGCCUACCAAGGCGACGAUCAGUAGCUGGUCUGAGAGGACGACCAGCCACACUGGGACUGAGACACGGCCCAGACUCCUACGGGAGGCAGCAGUGGGGAAUUUUGGACAAUGGGGGAAACCCUGAUCCAGCAAUGCCGCGUGUGUGAAGAAGGCCUUCGGGUUGUAAAGCACUUUUGUCAGGAACGAAACGGUGGGGGCUAAUACCUCCUGCUAAUGACGGUACCUGAAGAAUAAGCACCGGCUAACUACGUGCCAGCAGCCGCGGUAAUACGUAGGGUGCGAGCGUUAAUCGGAAUUACUGGGCGUAAAGCGUGCGCAGGCGGUUGUGCAAGACAGAUGUGAAAUCCCCGGGCUCAACCUGGGAAUGGCAUUUGUGACUGCACGGCUAGAGUGUGUCAGAGGGGGGUAGAAUUCCACGUGUAGCAGUGAAAUGCGUAGAUAUGUGGAGGAAUACCGAUGGCGAAGGCAGCCCCCUGGGAUAACACUGACGCUCA